rnacentral:ncRNA from 1 species
CCUUAAUGCAUGCUUAAUAACAAUAUUACCAAACGAGACGCCUUUUAGACGGGCUGUCCUGAUGUAUUGAGCCGUCAUGACUUCGGCCAUUGAGGCUCUGGUCAUUCGUGCAAUGUAGCCCAUGCCAUAGAGAGCGAUUGUCAGUACAGGAAGAAAGAAAUUUUCAAAAUU